CUCUCUCCACACCUAGUGGGUAUUGGCACUGUACACAGUGCUCAAAACAAUCAUGCGUAUGUGUUAACCACAAUGUGCGCUUAAAACUUAACUAUUGACCUCGUAUAAGGUAAGAGUACCCACUGAACUUAAGCAUAUCAAUAAGUGGAGGAAAAGAAACCAACAGGGAUUGCCUUAGUAGCGGCGAGUGAAGCGGCAAAAGCUCAAAUUUGAAAUCUGCCUUACGGCCGAGUUGUAAUUUGUAGAUGGUAACUCUGCGACAAGUCUUUGCUCAAGUGUUCUGGAAAGGACCAUCAUGGAGGGUGAUAAUCCCGUGAGGCAUUGAUGCAGUUGCGUGUAGAGUGCUAUCGAAGAGUCGAGUUGUUUGGGAAUGCAGCUCAAAGUGGGUGGUAGACACCAUCUAAAGCUAAAUAUUGGCGAGAGACCGAUAGCGAACAAGUACUGUGAAGGAAAGAUGAAAAGCACUUUGAAAAGAGAGUGAAAAAGUACGUGAAAUUAUUGAUACAGAAGGAUAUACAAUUGGACACGGAGUCUUGGGUUCGCUGCUUCUUCGGGAGUAGUUUGUCCCUUGAUUCUUCACCAGCAUCAGUUUUGGCAGGAGGAUAAACAACAUGGAAUGUAGCUGCUUGCAGUGUUAUAGACUUGUUGCAUACUCUUUGCCGGGACUGAGGUCAGCCUUUGUAGGAUGCUGGGGUAACGAUUGUAUAUCACCCGUCUUGAAACAC
rnacentral:rRNA from 1 species